rnacentral:tRNA from 1 species
UGGGGGAUCGUCUAGCGGCAGGACACCAGACUCUGGAUCUGGGUACGGAGGUUCGAAUCCUCCUCCCCCAGCCA